rnacentral:lncRNA from 1 species
UCUGGUGUCAGAGAAGCCGAGGAAGAAGAGCGGGAGCCUCUCCCGGACAAAACCCCCUUGUUUGAAACAAUAUGGAACAUCUUCACACCAAGAAAUCACAUUUGAACGGCAACCAGUACAAACUGACGACUAAACAAUCACAUUUGAACGGCAACCAGUACAAACUGACGACUAAACAAUCACAUUUGAACGGCAACCAGUACAAACUCCAACCACAAAGUUCGAUAGAUGGUCCGCCCAGAUAAAUAACAACAAAAUUGAAUGGAACUUAAGAAAGAGACUUAGGCAUAGGAG